rnacentral:antisense_RNA from 1 species
UGUUAUGAGGGGAGUCGUGUAGGCACUCGCAAGAGUGGCCGGGUUCCUGACUCCGGUAAGGCUAACCUGCACGACUCCGCUCACCCGA